rnacentral:rRNA from 1 species
CCAAUAGCGUAUAUUAAAGUUGUUGCAGUUAAAAAGCUCGUAGUUGAAUUUCGGAAUCUGUCCGUCGGUCGGGCUUCACUGUCCGUACUGGCGUGGUGGGUUCUUACCUUCUGAAUAACCAGCAUGCCAUUCACUUGGUGCGUUGGGGAAGCAGGACUAUUACCUUGAAAAAAUUAGAGUGCUCAAAGCAGGCUAGUGCCUGAAUACAUUAGCAUGGAAUAAUAAAAUAGGACGGCAUGGUUCUAUUUUGUUGGUUUCUAGGAUCACCGUAAUGAUUAAUAGGGAUAGUUGGGGGCAUUAGUAUUCAAUUGUCAGAGGUGAAAUUCUUGGAUUUAUUGAAGACUAACUUCUGCGAAAGCAUUUGCCAAGGAUGUUUUCAUUAAUCAAGAACGAAAGUUAGGGGAUCGAAGACGAUCAGAUACCGUCGUAGUCUUAACCAUAAACUAUGCCGACUAGGGAUCGGACGAUGUUAAUUUUUUAAUGACUCGUUCGGCGCCUUACG